GUUCGACGCCGUUGAAACUUUUUAGCAUAUGUUUGACCGUUCGUCUUAUUUAAAAAAUUUAAGUAAUUAUUAAUUCUUUUCCUAUCAUUUAAUUUAUUGUUAAAUAUAUUUUCAUGUAGGCAUAUAAUUUUACAUAUUUCACAAAAGUUUUUAAAUAAGACGAACGGUCAAACAUGUGCUAAAAAGUUAACGG
rnacentral:pre_miRNA from 1 species